GAUGAACGCUGGCGGCGUGCCUAACACAUGCAAGUCGAACGAAGCUUGACGGAUGAUUUCUUCGGAAUGAAACCAGAUAUGACUUAGUGGCGGACGGGUGAGUAACACGUGAGCAACCUGCCUUUCAGAGGGGGAUAACGUCUGGAAACGGUCGCUAAUACCGCAUGAUGUGUUCGGAUGGCAUCAUCUGAACAUCAAAGAUUUAUCGCUGAAAGAUGGGCUCGCGUCUGAUUAGAUAGUUGGUGGGGUAACGGCCUACCAAGUCUACGAUCAGUAGCCGGACUGAGAGGUUGAACGGCCACAUUGGGACUGAGAUACGGCCCAGACUCCUACGGGAGGCAGCAGGGGGGAAUAUUGCACAAUGGGGGAAACCCUGAUGCAGCAACGCCGCGUGAAGGAUGACGGUUUUCGAAUUGUAAACUUCUUUUCUUAGUGACGAAGACAGUGACGGUAGCUAAGGAAUAAGCAUCGGCUAACUACGUG
rnacentral:rRNA from 1 species